GAUGAACGCUGGCGGCGUGCCUAAUACAUGCAAGUCGAGCGAACAGAUAAGGAGCUUGCUCCUUUGACGUUAGCGGCGGACGGGUGAGUAACACGUGGGUAACCUACCUAUAAGACUGGGAUAACUUCGGGAAACCGGAGCUAAUACCGGAUAAUAUUUCGAACCGCAUGGUUCGAUAGUGAAAGAUGGUUUUGCUAUCACUUAUAGAUGGACCCGCGCCGUAUUAGCUAGUUGGUAAGGUAACGGCUUACCAAGGCGACGAUACGUAGCCGACCUGAGAGGGUGAUCGGCCACACUGGAACUGAGACACGGUCCAGACUCCUACGGAAGGCAGCAGUAGGGAAUCUUCCGCAAUGAGCGAAAGCCUGACGGAGCAACGCCGCGUGAGUGAUGAAGGUCUUCGGAUCGUAAAACUCUGUUAUUAGGGAAGAACAUACGUGUAAGUAACUGUGCACGUCUUGACGGUACCUAAUCAGAAAGCCACGGCUAACUACGUG
rnacentral:rRNA from 1 species